CCCGUGAUAGCUCAGUUGGUAGAGCGGAGGACUGUAGAUCCUUAGGUCGGUGGUUCGAAUCCGCCUCGCGGGA
rnacentral:tRNA from 1 species